rnacentral:rRNA from 1 species
UGACCUCGGAUCAGGUAGGGAUACCCGGCGUAAC